GCCCGCACACGUAUACAAUUCUGAUGAAGUGGCCCACUGCAGAAAACACUUGGACACCCCUGUUCUACUCCAAACAUUGAUGUGGUGUAGGCCUACCAUUUCAGUGUCUGGCUUAGUAUAUAGCAGGGAUGCACCGAAAAUUCAGCAUUCACUUGGCCGAAACCAAAAAUGACCC